rnacentral:rRNA from 1 species
UAAUUGAAGAGUUUGAUCAUGGCUCAGAUUGAACGCUGGCGGCAGGCCUAACACAUGCAAGUCGAACGGUAACAGGGAGCAGCUUGCUGCUCUGCUGACGA